rnacentral:rRNA from 1 species
UACAGAGGUGGCAAGCGUUGUUCGGAAUUACUGGGCGUAAAGGGCGCGUAGGCGGUGCUCUAAGUCGGAUGUGAAAACUCUGGGCUCAACCCAGAGCCUGCAUCCGAAACUGGAGUGCUAGAGUUCUGGAGGGGGUAGCGGAAUUCCUGGUGUAGCGGUGAAAUGCGUAGAUAUCAGGAGGAACACCGGUGGCGAAGGCGGCUACCUGGACAGAAACUGACGCUGAGGCGCGAAAGCUAGGGGAGCAAACAGG